CAUAGGUUAAUGAGGCGAACCGGGGGAACUGAAACAUCUAAGUACCCCGAGGAAAAGAAAUCAACCGAGAUUCCCCCAGUAGCGGCGAGCGAACGGGGAGCAGCCCAGAGCCUGAAUCAGUGUGUGUGUUAGUGGAAGCGUCUGGAAAGGCGCGCGAUACAGGGUGACAGCCCCGUACACAAAAAUGCACAUACUGUGAGCUCGAUGAGUAGGGCGGGACACGUGGUAUCCUGUCUGAAUAUGGGGGGACCAUCCUCCAAGGCUAAAUACUCCUGACUGACCGAUAGUGAACCAGUACCGUGAGGGAAAGGCGAAAAGAACCCCGGCGAGGGGAGUGAAAAAGAACCUGAAACCGUGUACGUACAAGCAGUGGGAGCACGCUUAGGCGUGUGACUGCGUACCUUUUGUAUAAUGGGUCAGCGACUUAUAUUCUGUAGCAAGGUUAACCGAAUAGGGGAGCCGAAGGGAAACCGAGUCUUAACUGGGCGUUAAGUUGCAGGGUAUAGACCCGAAACCCGGUGAUCUAGCCAUGGGCAGGUUGAAGGUUGGGUAACACUAACUGGAGGACCGAACCGACUAA
rnacentral:rRNA from 1 species